CGCGUAGUUAGCCGUGGCUUUCUAAUAAGGUACCGUCAAGGUACAGCCAGUUACUACUGUACUUGUUCUUCCCUUACAACAGAGUUUUACGAUCCGAAAACCUUCUUCACUCACGCGGCGUUGCUCCAUCAGGCUUUCGCCCAUUGUGGAAGAUUCCCUACUGCUGCCUCCCGUAGGAGUCUGGGCCGUGUCUCAGUCCCAGUGUGGCCGGUCGCCCUCUCAGGUCGGCUACGCAUCGUCGCCUUGGUGAGCCGUUACCUCACCAACUAGCUAAUGCGCCGCGGGCCCAUCCUAUAGCGACAGCCGAAACCGUCUUUCAGUCUUUCACCAUGAAGUAAAGAGGUUAUUCGGUAUUAGCCCCGGUUUCCCGGAGUUAUCCCAAACUAUAGGGUAGGUUGCCCACGUGUUACUCACCCGUCCGCCGCUAACGUCAAAGGAGCAAGCUCCUUUCUGUUCGCUCGACUUGCAUGUAUUAGGCACGCCGCCAGCGUUCGUCCUGAGCCAGGAUCAAACUCU
rnacentral:rRNA from 1 species